rnacentral:tRNA from 1 species
GGGGGUGUAGCUCAAUUGGCGGAGCAUUUGUCUCCAAAACAAAAGGUUGCAGGUUCGAGUCCUGCCACCCCCG